GAAGACACUGCCUUCAAGUACAGCCUCGUUCUUACACAGCAGAGGUCAGAACCUUGGCAUCAGCUUGGGGGAGGGGACACAAUCCAGCCCUUAGCAUGCAGUUUUAUGUCCCCAAGCUCCCGUCACGGACUCCAUCCGAGGAGCACGGCCAGCCGAGCAUCUGACCAGGUCAUAGUUGUUUAGUAAUUUGUGGAUAAAAUCACUGGACGGCCCUGAAGACUUGUGCGCAUGCCCCUGACCCAUCCGGGUGGCAUCUCCUUGGGGCCUGUCCUCCGCUCCGGUCCUUGGCUCACUGCUGCUUGCUCCUGACCACUGCACUCACCCCACAGAAGACCCCCAAGCCUGCACUUCCUUCUCAGCACCCAAUCCUACUUUUCUGGCUGGCUGUUGGAUUUCUCUGCAGUUUUACCAGCACUUCACAUAGAAACCAUCUUCUCGUAAGAAUCUGAUUCCCCUCUCCACAGCAUCCUAAGCUCCACCCAUAACAGCCAGGCUGCACCUGGAACACCUGCUUCCUAGAUCCGCCUGAAUCCUACCAUCCUCUGACCUGAGAACCGCCAGUCAUCCCAUGCCAAGUUCUCCUCCCUGCGCUGAACCGAUCGGAAGACACACAGCACUCUCUACACAUGUUUAGUCAAACUGAAGCCAGACUUGAGGAAAAGAAGUUCUUCCCAGACUUGGGCAGUGCCCCUCACCUCCUUGGGUCACCUCCUGUCCCCUGUAGCUGUAACUCCUUGUUCUGAUAAAGUCAUUUUGUUCUCACAAGACUCACAAGGCUCUGUCUUCUUUCAAGGCUAAGUUGUUGCUGCGUGAUACACGACCAACCCACCCCUCCAGUUUCAUGUCACUGGAAAGCCCUUCCCCCUUUCCACCAAAUGUACAAAAACUGGAAUCCUCUCUGUUUGUCACUCUUCCUUUGGACAGGAUCCAUUGAGCCGGUGUUCACCAAAACCCUGAAAUAAACCCUCCUGGUUCCCAUUGGCCUCUCCUGUCUCUGGAAUUCUGCAACAAAACCACAGUCAGACCUUGUCCAAGCAUAGCUUUUAUCAUCAGCAGUAAUUUCAGGCUGCACAGUGCAGACUAAGCUAGCCAGAAUUGGGCUUUUUUCAAACUUUUCUUUCUCCCAAUGUACAAACCAAGCCUGUUCUUCCAAAGAUAGCUGGAGCUACAGAGCAGAAACACAUA